CCUACGGGAGGCAGCAGUGAGGAAUAUUGGUCAAUGGACGAGAGUCUGAACCAGCCAAGUAGCGUGAAGGAUGACUGCCCUAUGGGUUGUAAACUUCUUUUAUAUGGGAAUAAAACGCUCCACGUGUGGGAUUUUGUAUGUACCAUAUGAAUAAGGAUCGGCUAACUCCGUGCCAGCAGCCGCGGUAAUACGGAGGAUCCGAGCGUUAUCCGGAUUUAUUGGGUUUAAAGGGAGCGUAGGUGGGUUGUUAAGUCAGUUGUGAAAGUUUGCGGCUCAACCGUAAAAUUGCAGUUGAAACUGGCAGUCUGGAGUACAGUAGAGGUAGGCGGAAUUCGUGGUGUAGCGGUGAAAUGCUUAGAUAUCACGAAGAACACCGAUUGCGAAGGCAGUUCACUGGACUGCAACUGACACUGAGGCUCGAAAGUGUGGGUAUCAAACAGGAUUAGAUACCCGAGUAGUC
rnacentral:rRNA from 1 species